rnacentral:ncRNA from 2 species
GAAGUCCACUAGGGGCGCUUCGUUUAAGAGGCUGAGAUAAAGCGUUUGCUUUGGUCCCUUUGAACCUGAUCUGGCUAAUACCAGCGAAGGGAAGUGGAGUCGGUUGGAU